rnacentral:rRNA from 1 species
GCAUAACGCGAAGAACCUUACCAGGUCUUGACAUCCCUCUGAAUAGUCUAGAGAUAGGCUAGCUUUUCGGAGCAGAGGAGACAGGUGGUGCAUGGCUGUCGUCAGCUCGUGUCGUGAGAUGUUGGGUUAGGUCCCGCAACGAGCGCAACCCCCAUCCUUAGUUGCCAACAGGUAGUGCUGGGAACUCUAGGGAGACUGCCGGUGACAAACCGGAGGAAGGCGGGGAUGACGUCAAGUCAUCAUGCCCCUUAUGACCUGGGCCACACACGUGCUACAAUGGCCGGUACAGAGCGCAGCAAAGCGGCGACGUGGAGCGAAUCGCAAAAAGCCGGUCUCAGUUCGGAUCGGAGGCUGCAACCCGCCUCCGUGAAGUCGGAAUCGCUAGUAAUCUCGGGUCAGCAUACCGAGGUGAAUACGUUCCCGGGUCUUGUACACACCG